UCUCAAGCGUGAGGUAAGAGCAUUUGGUGGAUGCCUUGGCAUGUACAGGCGAUGAAGGACGUGGCACGCUGCGAUAAGCGUCGGGGAGUUGUGAGCAAACUUUGAUCCGGCGAUUUCCGAAUGGGGAAACCCACCUUCACCAUUUCAUUCAUUCUGUGAGCGAUCACAGUCUGAGUGAGGUGGAACAGGUAUCACCGAGCUGAAUAAAAUAGGCUUGGUGAAGCGAACCCGGGGAACUGAAACAUCUAAGUACCCGGAGGAAAAG
rnacentral:rRNA from 1 species